rnacentral:rRNA from 1 species
CAAUAGCGUAUAUUAAAGUUGUUGCGGUUAAAAGCUCGUAGUUGGAUUUCUGUCGAGAACGGCCGGUCCGCACUAUGUGCGUGUAUCUGGUUCGGUCUUGGCAUCCUCUUGGAGAACGUAACUGCGCUUGAUUGCGUGGUGCGGUAUUCAAGACUUUUACUUUGAGGAAAUUAGAGUGUUCACGGCAGGCAAGCGCCUUGAAUAUAUUAGCAUGGAAUAAUAAUAUAGGAUCUCGGUUCUAUUUUGUUGGUUUCUAGAACAUACGCAAUGAUUAAUAGGGACAAUUGGGGGCGAUUCGUAUUAACGCGUCAGAGGUGGAAUUCUUAGAUUGCGUUACGACGAACUACUGCGAAAGCAUUUGCCAAGGAUGUUUUCAUUGAUCAAGAACGAAAGUAUGGGGAUCGAAGAUGAUUAGAU